UACAGAGGGUGCAAACGUUGCUCGGAAUUACUGGGCGUAAAGCGCGCGUAGGCGGACCUGCAAGUCGGGGGUGAAAGCCCGAGGCUCAACCUCGGAACUGCCUUCGAUACUGCGGGUCUCGAGUCCGGGAGAGGUGAGUGGAAUUCCUAGUGUAGAGGUGAAAUUCGUAGAUAUUAGGAAGAACACCAGUGGCGAAGGCGGCUCACUGGCCCGGUACUGACGCUGAGGUGCGAAAGCGUGGGGAGCAAACAGG
rnacentral:rRNA from 1 species